UGAGAUUGCAUGAUAGCAUCAUUAAAGAUUUAUCGGUGUACGAUGGGGAUGCGUUCCAUUAGGUAGUAGGCGGGGUAACGGCCCACCUAGCCAACGAUGGAUAGGGGUUCUGAGAGGAAGGUCCCCCACAUUGGAACUGAGACACGGUCCAAACUCCUACGGGAGGCAGCAGUGAGGAAUAUUGGUCAAUGGACGAGAGUCUGAACCAGCCAAGUAGCGUGAAGGAUGAAGGUCCUACGGAUUGUAAACUUCUUUUAUAAGGGAAUAAACCCUCCCACGUGUGGGAGCUUGUAUGUACCUUAUGAAUAAGCAUCGGCUAACUCCGUGCCAGCAGCCGCGGUAAUACGGAGGAUGCGAGCGUUAUCCGGAUUUAUUGGGUUUAAAGGGAGCGCAGACGGGUCGUUAAGUCAGCUGUGAAAGUUUGGGGCUCAACCUUAAAAUUGCAGUUGAUACUGGCGUCCUUGAGUGCGGUUGAGGUGUGCGGAAUUCGUGGUGUAGCGGUGAAAUGCUUAGAUAUCACGAAGAACUCCGAUUGCGAAGGCAGCACACUAAUCCGUAACUGACGUUCAUGCUCGAAAGUGUGGGUAUCAAACAGGAUUAGAUACCCUGGUAGUCCACACGGUAAACGAUGGAUACUC
rnacentral:rRNA from 1 species